UGGAUCUAGACGGGCAUGAGCUCCCGGCCUCUGCUUCAUCCUUGGUGCUGCCCGGAAGCUCUGCUAGAGAUUUACCGAAGUCCUUGAUAUUUUAACCUAGCUAUCAACUUCAGCCCAGAGAAGGUCUUCCAAAAGUAGAUUCCAAAAGUAUAUUCAUCCAUCAACCAUAACCUUAAAUCUGAAGCCAGGAACUAAAAAGAAAUUCUCAAGGUAACACAAUUGUCAUGAAGUCUCACUCCCAGGGCCAAUUAUAAUCUGGAUUUUUGUCUUCAUCCUUCCAGGUGUCUCUGAUCCCACUGUAAGCAAACCCUGAGUCCUAGGGCCUUUCUUCCACUUAUUUCACUCUUUCUGUACACAUUU
rnacentral:lncRNA from 1 species